AACGCACCUUGCGCUCCUUGGUAUUCCGAGGAGCAUGCCUGUUUGAGUGUCAUUAAUUUCUCAACCUCACCAGCUUUUGCUGAGUGCAGGCUUGGAUGUGGGGGUUGCAGGUCCGCUAACGUGGUCUGCUCCUCUGAAAUGUAUUAGUGGGUUGGGCCCCUAAUCUAUUGGUGUGAUAAUUAUCUACGCCGUGGAUUUGGGUGGCUGACUUAGACCCGCUUCUAACCGUCCUUCACCGGACAACUCUUGACAAUUUUGACCUCAAAUCAGGUAAGACUACCCGCUGAACUUAA
rnacentral:misc_RNA from 1 species